rnacentral:snRNA from 1 species
ACCGGCAGAGGGUGGAACAACACACAACGCCUUCGCCUUUUACUAGGGCGUUCCGUGUUCCACUUUCACUUGCCAUGCCGAUUAGCAAUUUUUCAGACAUCAGGUUUCUCCUGAAAU